GCACUGGACCUCUAGUAUAAUAAUAUUGGUGCCUUUUAAUACAGAGGACUUUUUCAAGGAACAGAUAGCUCUUGGACAGUUGUAGUCUAGUCAUAUUUUCACCAAGAAAUAGUAAGGUAGACAGACUGAAGGAGUAGAAAUGAUGGGGCCUGGUGUAGAAAGGAAGCAAUCAACAGCAACUUUUCAAGUAAUUUACAGGAACUCUUCAUAGUCCUUGAUCAGAACUGAACCUCAUAACUCUAUGGUAGAUUGCAUUAUUCCCAUUUUUUUCCAGAAGUUCUGAGGUCCAAGGUCAUGUGGCUGUUUACCAGCAGAGCUGGCCUUCCUCGCUCUGCCUCUAACCACUCCUGGACUUCAUGCGUUUACCCUGGGCUGUGUACUGGGGAGUUUGCAUCCAUGAAGCCUGAAUGGAGUCCUUGAUUCGCUGCCUGGUUCUAAGAUUGCGGUGCUCAUCACAAGUUUAGAACAUUUCACCCACAUUACCUAUUAGUCACCUGUGUGAGUGAGGUGAGUCUGGUUCUCCAUUCUGGUUUAAUGUUCACAAGAAAAUGGGGAAGGAAACUGCACUGCAUCCCAGGUUUCUAAGUGUGUGUAGACAGCGGUCUGAAAAGGCGAUCUUGUGUUACUUGUGACCUGCUUCUUUAUUACAGCAUGGAUUUUCAGCUCAACCGUUUCUUGAUUAUGUUUUAGAAUGGAUCAGUGACAUCCUAGUCAGAAGUGAACAGAAUCCAAAAGUCACUUGUUCAGUGUUAGGAUGAAAAAUACUUCCAAACCAAAAUGAAGCACAUGUCUUCUUGCUUAUUCACAUGAAAUGCCUUUUCCCAGGACUUGGGCCGUCACGGUGAUCGUCAUGGACUCUGCGGCUGACCUUAGGAAGGGCUGGAGCCAAGCCAUAUGUCACUGUGUCCCGCGUACCUAACCCUAGGCCUGGUGUGCUCCUUUUCAGCAGAUAUUUAAAACUGCUGCUGUGGUUUCUUGUGUUUUCUUUUUAAUAGUGCUGUUUCCUUCCUCACUGAGAUGGUGGAAGUUCUUAGGCCUGUCCUUUUACCCAGUAGGCCAGAAACCAGGUUGUCCAAGGAGUAAGGUAAUGAACUGAUUGGUUUUAAAUCCCAAGUCUGCCCUUAUCCAGCAGUGAGAUCGUGGAUUUGUGACUUACCUAACCUGCCUCCUUGUUUAUAAAGGGGGGGUUGGUUUAAAAACUUUGCCAAAGGAUUGAUUUCACUAAACGAAAUAAUACAUAUAAGUAAUACCUGGUCCAGUGGAUGUACCUGUAAGUGGGAGGUAUUUCUUGGGGGCUGACUAAGCCCAGUCUUUACUUGGACUCUGAAAUAUUUAUUGUGACCUCUGUCCAGAGAGGUCUGUCUUGCUUAAACCCCGACUCUAGGAUUCUUAAAGUCACCUGGAAAGAGAUUCCCCUGUGUAAACAAUGAUACUGCUAUGAAUAUGACAAGAUUUAGGUAACCUGAAUGCUUUCCUUCCCUGAUUAUAUGUCAGGGAUGCUUGCAGGGAAGUUUCCAGAAAGAAUGUAUUGAAGGAAUCCCAAGCUUUUCGUGGAUAAUCCACACUAUGUCUGUGAAUUGACAGUGUGGUACCUGUGACUGUUACAGAUGCUGUGCUGUGAUCUGCUGAAGUCGGUGUCUGAUUGCAACAUCUUUCUCCAGUCCUAUAAGAGAAGAAAGAAAACUAAUUCAAUGACAUAAAACCAGCAUUUCUCAGAGUGAACAUUAAAGGAUGUCAUAUGUCUGUGAAAACCCUGAUGUCAAAGAGGCCGAGGAAAUGCUGACCGGCUUCAACAAAAUCCAGCAGACCCGUUUCUUUGCUGCAGGACUUCUCAGGACCUUUAACAAAUGACUGUGUAUGUUGUAUUUCAGAGAAAAUAGUGAAGGUCACAUUUCAUGGAUUGUACAACCCUAGACCCUUUUCAGAGAGCACCCCCCACCCCCCCCAAGGACUUAUGUUCUAUGGAACACACUUUGGGAAAUGUAGGCCUAAACUGAUGCUCCUUUGUGGUGAUAGGGGAGAUGCACGGGGCACACCAUUGUGUGAGUGUGUACAUUUCAGGUUUCUGCACACCUUCCCUUCCUCCAGGCAGAGUUGAGUGCAGCCCUCUCCUGGGGUCCUGGGGGGCAGCCUGGUAGAGUAAGAAAUUGGGGUUCCAUUGCAGUUUCUCCUCUUAGCUCUGUGAUCCUGCGCAGGUUAGCUUCAGAUCUCCCAGGUACGAUAUGGGGUUAAUACAACUUCCCAAGCUUGGGCAGUGGUAAUACACACACAGGUGGGGCUGGAGUAGGUACCAGGAUAUGCCAGCUUCCCUUCCCAAUCCUGGGACUGAUCCACCACUGGGGACAAUGAAUGAACGCGCUCGCCCCCUAGUGGGCAUUGCUGUCUCUGCCACCCGAGUCCACCCAUCCUGAUAGAGGACUGGAUGGCUCCUAUUGUUGGCUCCUUAGCGACUGUUCCCCAUUGGUCUGUGGGUGAUUCAUUUUAGACAAAUGAGUCAAGAAAUUAUUUGAACGAAGGUGAUAGAUUUGAGAGCAGAGAUUGUGGGUUCUCUCCCCAGCAAGAGACGAAGUACCAUCCCCAUUUUACAGAUGCUGGCCUUGAGGUCACACAGAUGUGACAGGGUGACUCUGGGAUUCAUGGAUGGGCCAUUUCCACACAGCUGAAUGCUUUGUAGACAACCAGGAUCAAGAUCCUCUUAUUCCCUUUAUCAGAUGUGGCUCUUAAAUGGGAGAGGAGAGAGGUGCGAUUUGCCUGAUUCUACCUGUGAUUCAAGUUUAUCUCUAAUACCUAUCGGCCUUGCAAAUAGUAGGCAGUCAGUGAUAACAAAAGUUAUUGUUUUUUGAGAGUGCGGUCUGCCAGAAAACAUCGUAAGUGCUUUACUUCUUUAAUCCUUACAACAAGCCUUGGAAGAUGGCAGACUGUCUCUCAGUCCCAUGUUAGAGCUGAGAAAAGAAGCCCAGAGCAUUUGAGUAACUUGCUUAAGAUCACACAGCAAAUGCAGGACAAAACCAGCAAUCAGACCAACACAGUCUGAUUUCGCACCUCGACACUCCCACCACACCCCACCCUGCCUUUCUGAACAUCCCUUCUCGGCCACCGUGGUCGCAACAAGUAUUUACUGGGUCCCCGCUGUGUGCCCACCCCUGUGCCAGGAGCUGUGGAGGGUACAAAAGAUUCAUGAAACUAUUUGGUAUCUAUGAUUGCUCCAAAAUUGGUUUUGACUCCAUAAUAAACGGUAAAAUCCCCGAGGAAAACACUGAAUGAGGACAUUUAAAAGAGCAAGUUUUUCAGAGUAGGAAGAAACUGGUUAAUAGCAGGCUGAAGGGCAAACAUGUUUGAAAAAAGAACCAAGGCAGGGAAAACCAACCCUGUGUUAGUGACACAUACGAUCUGUAUGCCUGUGAGCCGGAGGACGGGAAAGGGGAGAAAGCCAUCUUCCCGGGCACACGAAGCCUGGCAGUUCAUGGGGACCAUAACACAGUGUUAAAGGGGAAACCCUGCCUGGAGGGCGGAGGUGGACUUUAACAGAAACCGGGUCAGGUAGGUGCAAAUUGGAAGCGGGGAGAUGCAGAGGCACGAUCUGAGGAAUACAUUUACCCAAA